AAAAAAAUGUUUCUGGGGCCUCUUCACCUGUGGCAAUAGACACAGACAGCCCGUAAUUGCCGGGAUUUUAGACUUUUCACUUGGGGGUGGGGGCGGGUUGGGACAGGGGACCAUAGGGAAGAAUGAACUGGUGCCUAAGUUUUCAAUCGGAUCAUUCUUCUCAACUUGGGCAGCUCUUUUCUUCUUUUCUUCCUUCCUUCCUUCCUCCCUUCCUCCCCCCAGGCUCGGCGCACACACUCGGCUUCACCAGCGGGGGCACCACGGGCAAGGCCCGAGGGUAGCACUGCCGCGGACCCGAGCGCCCCUGGUAGUCUAGAGAGCAGGCUGCCCAGGACGAGCGACCGCUGCGUGGCACGGACACCUGGCCCCAGAAGACUGCAGGGUCAGUGAAGACUACAAUUUUUGGAGAAGGCUUCAGAGGAAAGCCUUGAAGAUCAGUCUUUCUUAAAGGCAUGAAAGCAAGAACGAGUAUGGAGCAUGCAGAGGAGAGAGAGGAAGAUGCAAAAACUCUGACGUUUGCGGGAUAGAGUUGGAAAACACUCGGAUCCUGAUGGGCCCAGAGCUGUGAUGGACACACAGUCCAGACCUUGAUAACUGAAAAGAAAACCAACAUUGCUCAAGCUACCAUAUUUAUUUUCUAUUUUACAAUGGAAAUUUCAUUUGGUUAAUUUUCAAAACUAUUUACUGAGCGUAUAAUGAAGGUCUGUGUCAGAUACAAAUACAAAGUGAAGAAGAAACAACCUCGUCCACUGUCUAGAAGCUCAUAUCCUGGGGAGAGGGAAGUGGGGAUGUGUCUGUAUUCCCAUGCCUCUCUUUGAAAGGACUUCCAGUAAGAACAAUGAGAUGUGCAACACAAGAAAAUGAAGUGUAUUGGAAGUAAGUGAGAAAGAUUAAAGCAGAGGGAAAGCAAUGAUGGGAUCAGAGGUAAGCUAAUGCACAAAAUAAAUACAAUAAAGGACACCAUGUACUUGCUAAGGAUUCAUCAGGCAUUUGGCUCUCAGCCUUUUAGCAAUCUCUGUACAAGGAAAAAUACAAUCAGUUGCACAAUCCACAGGUUCCACCAGAUAGAAGCUGACAAAAGCAGACCAAUUGUUCAGGAUAUAACUAGUCUGGAUAUAAAGCCAAACAAACCCACAAGGAUCCCGAAAGUAUAAUAAUAUGUGAUAUACUGAAGAACAUCCUCAAUAAUAUCCUUAUAGCAAAGGAGCUAUUUCUGCUAGCAUAUCUCAGUAUGGGCUGAUGGCUUAUCAUCAAAGUCAAAUUUCAGUGAAAGCAAUUUACAGGGGUUCACUUAAGCAGCAAAUGUCAUUACUGUGUGGUAAGUACGGUGAUAGAAAUAUGCAUCCAGCACUAUGGGACAAAAGGGGACACAACUGCAACUUCAUUAUUCAGAGUUGGAGCAGACGUCGUCACCAAGGAUGGGGCCCAGGACUUCCGUCCAGUUUUCAAAGGAAAUAGGCAGGUUUUGCUGCAAACACCUAACUCGUAUAACUCAAAUUUUUAUUGUGGAUGGGACAUUGUUUUAAAAGAGAUUUGUUACCAAAGAAAAAUUCACACUAAACAAUUAAGACACUGAGGGACAAAUGCCAUAUGAUCUCACCUUUAACUGGAACCAAAUCAACAAAACAAACAAGCAAGCGACAUACAACCAGAGACACUGAAAUUAAGAACAAACAGACAGCAACCAGAGGGGAGGAGGGAGAAGAUAAUGGGGGAAAGGGU